AUGUGGAGCGCUUAGAAGUGAGAAUGCCGGUGUGAGUAGCGAAAGACGGGUGAGAAUCCCGUCCACCGAUUGACUAAGGUUUCCAGAGGAAGGCUCGUCCGCUCUGGGUUAGUCGGGUCCUAAGCUGAGGCCGACAGGCGUAGGCGAUGGAUAACAGGUUGAUAUUCCUGUACCACCUAUAAUCGUUUUAAUCGAUGGGGGGACGCAGUAGGAUAGGCGAAGCGUGCGAUUGGAUUGCACGUCUAAGCAGUAAGGCUGAGUAUUAGGCAAAUCCGGUACUCGUUAAGGCUGAGCUGUGAUGGGGAGAAGACAUUGUGUCUUCGAGUCGUUGAUUUCACACUGCCGAGAAAAGCCUCUAGAUAGAAAAUAGGUGCCCGUACCGCAAACCGACACAGGUAGUCAAGAUGAGAAUUCUAAGGUGAGCGAGCGAACUCUCGUUAAGGAACUCGGCAAAAUGACCCCGUAACUUCGGGAGAAGGGGUGCUCUUUAGGGUUAACGCCCAGAAGAGCCGCAGUGAAUAGGCCCAAGCGACUGUUUAUCAAAAACACAGGUCUCUGCUAAACCGUAAGGUGAUGUAUAGGGGCUGACGCCUGCCCGGUGCUGGAAGGUUAAGAGGAGUGGUUAGCUUCUGCGAAGCUACGAAUCGAAGCCCCAGUAAACGGCGGCCGUAACUAUAACGGUCCUAAGGUAGCGAAAUUCCUUGUCGGGUAAGUUCCGACCCGCACGAAAGGCGUAACGAUUUGGGCACUGUCUCAACGAGAGACUCGGUGAAAUCAUAGUACCUGUGAAGAUGCAGGUUACCCGCGACAGGACGGAAAGACCCCGUGGAGCUUUACUGUAGCCUGAUAUUGAAAUUCGGCACAGCUUGUACAGGAUAGGUAGGAGCCUUUGAAACGUGAGCGCUAGCUUACGUGGAGGCGCUGGUGGGAUACUACCCUAGCUGUGUUGGCUUUCUAACCCGCACCACUUAUCGUGGUGGGAGACAGUGUCAGGCGGGCAGUUUGACUGGGGCGGUCGCCUCCUAAAAGGUAACGGAGGCGCUCAAAGGUUCCCUCAGAAUGGUUGGAAAUCAUUCAUAGAGUGUAAAGGCAUAAGGGAGCUUGACUGCGAGACCUACAAGUCGAG
rnacentral:rRNA from 1 species